UCAAGGUGAGAGAUACGGAGGUAGAGCACUGAAUGUCCUAGGGGGUAUUGCACCUACCGAAGACUAUCAAACUCCGAAUGCCGUCAUCUUAUACUUGGGAGUCAGACUGUGGGUGAUAAGAUUCAUAGUCGAAAGGGCAACAGCCCAGAUCGUCAGCUAAGGUCCCUAAAUGUAAGUUAAGUGGUAAAGGAUGUGGGAUUGCACAGACAACCAGGAUGUUGGCUUAGAAGCAGCCACUCAUUCAAAGAGUGCGUAAUAGCUCACUGGUCGAGUGAUCCUGCGCCGAAGAUUUCCGGGGCUAAAACUUACUACCGAAGCUACGGCAUCAGUAAUGAUGGGUAGGGGAGCUUCCCAUACGGGUUGAAGCAUGACCGUAAGGACAUGUGGACAGUAUGGGAGUGAGAAUGUUGGCAUGAGUAGCGAGAUGUGGGUGGGAAUCCCACAGGCCGUAAACCCAAGGUUUCCAGGGGAAGGUUCGUCCGCCCUGGGUUAGUCGGGACCUAAGCUGAGGCCGAAAGGCGUAGGUGAUGGACAACAGGUUGAUAUUCCUGUACUACCGAUAACCGUUUGAGAGAAGGGAUGACACAGUAGGAUAAGCUAAGCACACUGUUGGUUAUGUGUGCCCAAGCAUUGAGGCAGUCAAAGUAGGCAAAUCCGCUUUGAUAAUGCUGGGAUGUGAUGGGGAGCGAAAUUUAGUAGCGAAGUAGCUGAUUUCACACUGUCAAGAAAAGUCUCUAUCGAGGUUAAAGGUACCCGUACCGCAAACCGACACAGGUGGGUGAGGAGAGUAUCCUAAGGCCAGCGAGAGAACUGUUGUUAAGGAACUCGGCAAAAUGACCCCGUAACUUAGGGAUAAGGGGUGCCACCAUCAGGUGGCCGCAGAGAAUAGGCCCAAGCGACUGUUUACCAAAAACAUAGGUUUCUGCUAAGUCGCAAGACGAUGUAUAGGAGCUGACGCCUGCCCGGUGCUGGAAGGUUAAGGGGAUCUGUUAGAGCAAUCGAAGCAGUGAACUUAAGCCCCAGUAAACGGCGGCCGUAACUAUAACGGUCCUAAGGUAGCGAAAUUCCUUGUCGGGUAAGUUCCGACCCGCACGAAAGGCGUAACGAUUUGGGCACUGUCUCAACAACAGACUCGGUGAAAUUGUAAUUCCGGUGAAGAUGCCGGAUACCUGCGACAGGACGGAAAGACCCCAUGGAGCUUUACUGUAGCUUGACAUUGGGUCUUGGUACUACAUGUACAGGAUAGGUGGGAGGCUUUGAAACCAGGACGCCAGUUUUGGCGGAGCCAUCCUUGGGAUACCACCCUUGUAGUACUGGGACUCUAACCAUAGGCCAUGAAUCUGGUCUUGGGACACUGUCAGGUGGGCAGUUUGACUGGGGCGGUCGCCUCCCAAAAGGUAACGGAGGCGCUCAAAGGUUCUCUCAGUACGGUCGGAAAUCGUACGUAGAGUGUAAAGGCAAAAGAGAGCUUGAUUGCAAGACAUACAGGUCGAGCAAGGAUGAAAAUCGGACUUAGUGAUCCGGUGGUUCUGCGUGGAAGGGCCAUCGCUCAACGGAUAAAAGCUACCCUGGGGAUAACAGGCUUAUCUCCCCCAAGAGUCCACAUCGACGGGGAGGUUUGGCACCUCGAUGUCGGCUCAUCACAUCCUGGGGCUGUAGUAGGUCCCAAGGGUUGGGCUGUUCGCCCAUUAAAGUGGUACGCGAGCUGGGUUCAGAACGUCGUGAGACAGUUCGGUCCCUAUCCGUCGCAGGCGUAGGAAAUUUGAGAAGACCUGUCCUUAGUACGAGAGGACCGGGAUGGACGUACCUCUGGUGUACCAGUUGUCCUGCCAAGGGCAUGGCUGGGUAGCUAUGUACGGAAUGGAUAAGCGCUGAAAGCAUCUAAGCGCGAAGCCAACUUCAAGAUAAGAUUUCCCACCGCAAGGGUAAGACCCCAGAAAGACUAUCUGGUUGA
rnacentral:rRNA from 1 species